AGAGGCCUCUGCUCUGCCAGCCUGGGAGUCAUCUUCACCCUCAGGCUGGUAGACUCCAGUCUCUUAGGUCAGAAUGGGAUUAGAGACCCGUUCCUGAACCAGUCACACACAGCGGGUGAAACUGCUAUGAUUGGUUUAGACUUAGAGACUGGAAUGGAUGCUGAAAACAUCGCCCAUUUCAUCUGUUUCUUCAGUCCCCAGAUAGCAGAUGACUGGUAGGAAGAUGAGGCAAGUUUGCGGUCCAUUGUCAUGGAUAGUGGAGACAACACUGGGCCAGAAGUGGUAAGACCUGAAUCCAAGACUCAGCUCUGCCACUUGCUAAAUGGGACUUUGAAUAAACCAUUUCUCUGCACUUAAGUUCCUUACCAACAAAACGAGGGAAGUGGCCUACAUGCCUAGAUAUCAACAUUUCAUGUCACGUAGAGAUCUAGCAUCACAAGAAUCCAAGUCAUCCUCUGUUGCCUUUAAGAUUUCAGCAUGGUGAAGGAAAAGUAGCAGAAGACUGAAUGCAUACUCAGUUUUCAAGCUCUGGAUUUAAUCUUUCCAUAGCUGGAAUUGCCUCCUCCUCAAAAGCCUUAUUUGUUCAUUUAAUUGGGGCAACAUGAAAUAAUGAUGUAUCAUUGACAGAGAACAGGGGGCUUAGGUUCUCAUCUUGGUCCUAGUGAUUACUCUAUGCAUAACCUCAACUUCUUUAUCUGUACAUUGGGAACAAUAAUUCUUACUCCACUUGUUGUGUUGAAACUGAAUUAUAUAAUUCAUAAAUUAAAACACCAAAUUCUGAUAAAUGCUAAA
rnacentral:lncRNA from 1 species